UAUUUGUUUUAGCUUGAGGCUAUUUCCGGAUGUGACUAACAAUGGUAAACCAAAGCCGGAAAACCCUUUGGAGGAAUUAUACCUCGGACCGUGAAGAAUUGGCAAGUUGGAUUUUCUCCUGCUCCAACGUGACCCGCCCUGGUUUGAAACAAUUCCCUUAUUGUUUAACCUGAGUGUGGUGGCCUGUUUUCAUGCUGAAAUGUGCCUCGCUAGUUUAAGGCUGCGAUUGUUCUGUUGUACUUUGCGUGCAGCCAAAUGUUUAAAAUGUGGUUCUGCUCCCAGAUAAACAAAAACAAACAAA
ensembl:lncRNA